rnacentral:rRNA from 1 species
UACGUAGGGUGCAAGCGUUAAUCGGAAUUACUGGGCGUAAAGCGUGCGCAGGCGGCUUUGCAAGACAGAUGUGAAAUCCCCGGGCUCAACCUGGGAACUGCAUUUGUGACUGCAUGGCUGGAGUGCGGCAGAGGGGGAUGGAAUUCCGCGUGUAGCAGUGAAAUGCGUAGAUAUGCGGAGGAACACCGAUGGCGAAGGCAAUCCCCUGGGCCUGCACUGACGCUCAUGCACGAAAGCGUGGGGAGCGAUCCGG